GAUGCCACAGUAAACCAAAUAUUAUUUAAGAGGAGCACUUAUAGACUUCUUUUGUCCAAAAGAAGUUGGUUAGAGUUAUAAGUUAUGUGGAAUACCUAUAUAUGAUUUUGGUUCUUGGAGCUAAUUAAAUAUGAACUAAUUAACUUAAUUAUAGAGAAUAUAUAUAUAUAUAUAUAUAUAUAUCCAGCCCCUUUCUAUUGAGGGAUCCCUAUUUUUGGCCACUUUCUAGGGAUAGGGCAUUACACCACUUCCCAAUUGAAUUUUUACAUCUCCACCGUUCAUAUCUUAGGUCUAUAUGAGUAGAUCACCUCUACAAAAUUUCAUAUGAUUUGGUGAUCGUUAAGACUUUCAAAAGUUUGAUUUAGUUUUAAUGAUUUUGAACGAUCCAGCUUAUGUCAAACUAAAACCGUUGAAGGUCAUUAAAACUAAAUUGAACUUUUGAAAGCCUUAACGAUCACCAAAUCAUAUGAAAUUUUGUAGAGGUGAUCUACUCAUAUAGACCUAAGAUAUGAACGGUGGAGAUGUAAAAUUAUAGUCGGGAAGUUAGUGUAAUGCCCUAUCCCUAUAAAUGGCUUAAAAUAGGGAUCCCUUAUUGGAAGGGCCCUGUUCAAGUUCCAACUUGUCAAUAAAAUAAAAUAAAACCAUUCAAGUUCCAAUCAUCGCCGGAAUUUUUGUACCGUUAUCAGUAAUGACUACAGGAAAUUUCAAAUAGAUAGGGAAAGGAAAAAAGUGACCUGGGUCUGCUAGCUUCUCCAAAAUUCAAAUCAUAGGAUUCACAAAAAUAAUUGGUUGUAG
rnacentral:lncRNA from 1 species